rnacentral:rRNA from 1 species
GACAGAGGGUGCAAACGUUGUUCGGAAUUACUGGGCGUAAAGCGCGUGUAGGCGGCAGGGCAUGUCGGAUGUGAAAUCCCGUGGCUCAACCACGGAAGUGCACCCGAAACUGCCCAGCUUGAGUCUCGGAGAGGAAGGCGGAAUGCUUGGUGUAGAGGUGAAAUUCGUAGAUAUCAAGCGGAACACCGGUGGCGAAGGCGGCCUUCUGGACAGUGACUGACGCUGAGACACGAAAGCGUGGGGAGCAAACAGG